GGAUGAACGCUGGCGGCGUGCCUAAUACAUGCAAGUCGAGCGAACAGAUGAGGAGCUUGCUCCUCUGCCGUUAGCGGCGGACGGGUGAGUAACACGUGGAUAACCUACCUAUAAGACUGGGAUAACUUCGGGAAACCGGAGCUAAUACCGGAUAAUAUAUUUAACCGCAUGGUUCAAUAGUGAAAGACGGUUUUGCUGUCACUUAUAGAUGGAUCCGCGCCGCAUUAGCUAGUUGGUAAGGUAACGGCUUACCAAGGCAACGAUGCGUAGCCGACCUGAGAGGGUGAUCGGCCACACUGGAACUGAGACACGGUCCAGACUCCUACGGGAGGCAGCAGUAGGGAAUCUUCCGCAAUGGGCGAAAGCCUGACGGAGCAACGCCGCGUGAGUGAUGAAGGUCUUCGGAUCGUAAAACUCUGUUAUUAGGGAAGAACAAAUGUGUAAGUAACUAUGCACGUCUUGACGGUACCUAAUCAGAAAGCCACGGCUAACUACGUG
rnacentral:rRNA from 1 species